GGUUGAUCCUGCCGGACCUGACUGCUAUCGGAUUGAUACUAAGCCAUGCGAGUCAUUGUAGCAAUACAAGGCAUACGGCUCAGUAACGCGUAGUCAACCUACCCUAUGGACGGGAAUAACCUCGGGAAACUGAGUAUAAUGCCCGAUAGAACACUAUACCUGGAAUGGUUUGUGUUCCAAAUGAUUUAUCGCCGUAGGAUGGGACUGCGGCCUAUCAGUUUGUUGGUGAGGUAAUGGCCCACCAAGACUAUUACAGGUACGGGCUCUGAGAGGAGUGGCCCGGAGAUGGGUACUGAGACACGGACCCAGGCCCUAUGGGGCGCAGCAGGCGAGAAAACUUUGCAAUGUGCGAAAGCACGACAAGGUUAAUCCGAGUGGUUUCUGCUAAAGGAACCUUUUGACAGUCCUAGAAACACUGUUGAAUAAGGGGUGGGCAAGUUCUGGUGUCAGCCGCCGCGGUAAAACCAGCACCUCAAGUGGUCAGGAUGAUUAUUGGGCCUAAAGCAUCCGUAGCCGGCUCUGUAAGUUUUCGGUUAAAUCUGUACGCUUAACGUACAGGCUGCUGGGAAUACUGCAGAGCUAGGGAGUGGGAGAGGUAGACGGUACUCGGGAGGAAGUGGUAAAAUGCUUUGAUCUCUCGAUGACCACCUGUGGCGAAGGCGGUCUACCAGAACACGUCCGACGGUGAGGGAUGAAAGCUGGGGGAGCAAACCGGAUUAGAUACCCGGGUAGUCCCAGCUGUAAACUAUGCAAACUCAGUGAUGCACUGGCUUAUGGCCAGUGCAGUGUUG
rnacentral:rRNA from 1 species